rnacentral:rRNA from 1 species
UCUGUGGCCAGCAGCCGCGGUAAUACAGAGGUGGCAAGCGUUGUUCGGAUUUACUGGGCGUAAAGGGUGCGUAGGAGGUCGUGUGUGUCGGAUGUGAAAUCUUGCUGUUCAUCGGCAAAACUGCAUUCGAAACUACACGACUAGAGUGCAGGAGAGGAGAGCAGAAUUCUCGGUGUAGCGGUGAAAUGCGUUGAUAUCGAGAGGAAUGCCGGUGGUGAAGACGGCUCUCUGGACUGUAACUGACUCUGAGGCACGAAAGCUAGGGGAGCAAACAGGAUUAGAUACCCUGGUAGUCCUAGCCGUAAACGGUGUGCACUUGGUGUGGGAGGAUUUAUCCCCUUCCGUGCCGUAGCUAACGCGUUAAGUGCACCGCCUGGGGAGUACGGCCGCAAGGCUAAAACUCAAAGAAAUUGACGGGGGCCCGCACAAGCGGUGGAGCAUGUGGCUUAAUUCGAUGCAACGCGAAGAACCUUACCAAGGCUUGACAUGCAAUUGCACGACCAAUGAAAGUUGGUCUCCUUCGAGGGUAUUGCACAGGUGCUGCAUGGCUGUCGUCAGCUCGUGCCGUGAGGUGUUUGGUUAAGUCCAGCAACGAGCGCAACCCUUGUGAAUAGUUGCUCGCCCUUUGGGCAGCACUCUAUUCAGACUGCCUGUGAUAAGCAGGAGGAAGGUGGGGAUGACGUCAAGUCCGUAUGGCCUUUAUGCCUUGGGCUGCACACGUGCUACAAUGAAUGGUACAGAAAGAAGCAAGACCGCGAGGUGGAGCUAAUCUCCAAAACCAUUCCCAGUUCGGAUUGGAGUCUGAAACUCGACUCCAUGAAGCCGGAAUCGCUAGUAAUGGCGCAUCAGCUACGGCGCCGUGAAUACGUUCCCGGGCCUUGUACACACCGCCCGUCACAUCAUGAAAGCCGAUUGCACCCGAAAUAGCCGAUUCAACCCGCAAGGGAGAUAGGUUCCUAAGGUGUGGUUGGUGAUUGGGAUGAAGUCGUAACAAGGUAGCCGAAUCUCUGAAGAUCCGCGCUACC